rnacentral:tmRNA from 1 species
GGGGUCGUUACGGAUUCGACAGGCACUAUGAGAUACAUUCUGCGACUCAUCGGCAGAUGUAAAAAUGCCAGUUAAAUAUAACUGCAAAAAAUACAAAUUCUUACGCUGUAGCUGCCUAAAAACCAGCUCGCGUGAUCUCUACAGGAUUGCUUGUGUUUUGCUAGAGGUUUCAUUGAUUAGCAAGCUACGUUUGAUUAUUGCCUAGCUAGUCAAAAAGAGAUUUAUAGGCUCGCUUAAUCUAGGUUUGAGUUAUGUAUCGAGCUUAAGUUAAAUCAAAGACAUAACCUAUGGUUGUAGACGAAUGUAUUGGCAGGUGUUUGGACGUGGGUUCGACUCCCACCGGCUCCAU